rnacentral:lncRNA from 1 species
AAUUGUGCCUACAUCUGUUCAUCUACUUUUGUAUAAACAUAUAAACACACGAAAAGAAUAUAUUCACUUUAUUCAGAAUAAAACUAUACUCAAAGUUAUGGGGCCCUAAAAAAAAAUUUUAAAGGAUACAAAAAAAUGGAAAGAUAUUCCAUGUUUAUGGAUUAGACGAAUCAAUAUUGUUAAAUGUCCAUACUACCCAAAGCAAUCUACAGAUGCAAUGCAAUCCCUAUCAAAAUAUCAAUGACAUUUUUCACAGAAAUAGAAAAAACAAUCCUAAAGUUUAUAUGGGAACACACACACACACACACACACACACACACACACACACACACAGACACACACAAGCCCAGAAUAGCCAAAGCUAUCCUGAGCAAAAAGAACAAAACUGGAGGAAUCACAUUGCCUUACUUCAAAUUAUACUACAGAGCUAUAGUAGCCAAAACAGCAUGGUAGAGUUACAAAAACAGACACAUAGACAAGUGGAACAGAAUAGAGAACCCAGAAAUAAAUCCACACAUCUACAGUGAACUCAUUUUUGACAAAGAUGUUAAGAACAUACAUCAGGGAAAGGACAGUCUCUUCAAUAAAUGGUGCUGGGAAAACUGGAUAUCCAUAUGCAGAAGAAUGAAACUACACUCCUAUCUCUUGCCACAUACAAAAAUCAAAUCAAAUGCAUUAAAGACUUAAGUCUAAAGAUUUAAAUCUAUGUUCUCAAACUAUGAAACUACUACAAGAAAACAUAGGGGGAAAUCUCCAGGAUAUUGGUCUGGGCAAAAAUUUCUUGAGUAAUACCCCACAAGCACAGGCAAUUGAAGCAAAAAUCAACAAAAGAGAUCACAUCAAGUUAAAAAAAAAAACAAACUUCUGUAUAGCAAAGGAUGCAAUCAACAAAGUGAAGAGACAACCCACAUAAUGGGUGAAAAUAUUUGCAAACUACCCAUUUGACAAGGGAUUAAUAACAAGAAUACAUAAGGAGCUCAGACAACUCUAUAGGAAAAUAACCUAAUAAUCUGAUUAAAACAGACAAAAUAUCUGAAUAGACAUUUCUCAAAAGAAGAUAUCCAAAUGUCAAAUAGGUAAAUGAAAAGGUGCUCAACAUCACUGAUCAGAGAAAUGCAAAUCAAAACUACAAUGAGAAAUCAUCUUACCACAGGUUAAAAAUGGCUUAUAUCCAAAAGACAGGCAAUAACAAAUGCUGGUGAGGAUGUGGAGAAAAGGGAACCCUUGUACACUGUUGGUGGGAUUGUAAAUUAAUACAACCACUAUGGAGGUUCAUCAAAACACUAAAAGUAGAGCUACCAUAUGAUUGAGCAAUCCCAUUGCUAGGUAUAUACUCGAAAGAAAGGAAAUCAGAAUAUCGAAGAUGUAUCUGUACUCUCAUGUUUCUUGCAGCACUAUUCACAAUAGCCAAGAUUUGGAAGCAAACUAAAUGUUCAUCAACAGCUGAAUCAAUAAAGAAAAUAUAGUACAAUUACAUAAUGGAGUGCUAUUCAGCCAUAAAAAAAUAAGAUUCCGUCAUUUGCAACAACAUGGAUGGAACUGGAGGUCAUUAUGUUAAGUGAAAUCAGUCAGGCACAGAAAGACAGACUAAAUGCUCUCACUUAUUUGUGGGAGCCAACAAUUAAAACAAUUGAACUCAUAGACGUAGAGAGUAGAAGGAUGCUUACCAGAGGCUGGGAAGCAUAAUGUGGUGGGGGGAGUGGGUAGGGCGUGGGGAAUGGAGAUGGUCAAUGGGUACAAAAAAAUUAGAAAGUGUUGGGAGCAGGCCCCCCAAAAUCUGGCCAUAAACUGUCCCUAAAAUUGACCAUAAACAAAAUCUCUGCAGCACUGUAACAUGUUCAUAAUGGCCCUAACGCCCAAGCUGGAAGGUUGUGGGUUUAUGGGAAUGAGGGCAAGGAACACCUGGCCCGCCCAGGACGGAAAACUGCUUAAAGGCGUUCUUAAGCCACAAACAAUAGCAUGAGUGAUCUGUGCCUUAAGGACAUGCUCCUGCUGCAGUUAACUAGUCCAACCUAUUCCUUUAAUUCAGCCCAUCCCUUUUCCCAUAAGGGAUACUUUUAGUUAAUUUAAUAUCUAUAGAGACAAUGCUAAUGACUGGUUUGCCAUUAAUAAAUACGUGGGUAAAUCUCUGUUCGGGGUUCUCAGCUCUGAAGGCUGUGAGACCCCUGAUUUCCUACUUCACACCUCUGUAGUUCUGUGUGUGUGUCUUUAAUUCCUCUAGCGCUGCUGGGUUAGGGUCUCCCCGACUGAGCUGGUCUCGGCAAGUGGUGUCCAUUCGUGGGGGCUCAAAUCCAGGUCGAAGGGUCGCCAGAGCAACAGUUGGAAUGGAAAACCAGCUGGAGGACACAGGAGUACUCUUAAAGCAAUCCCCGUGGCCAAAAUCAACAGCUGAUCUGGAUACCAUCAAUACACCUGAAACCUUAGCAUAAGCCAGAUUACAGGAGGAUCCCGAGGACCCCCCAGUUGCAGCCAUGUCAAGACUGAUGCUGAGGAGGACCCCAAUUGUCACGAGCAACACCCGUCAAACACAGCCACCCACCUGGGGACAGAUCAAGAAGCUGUCACAGAUGGCGGAAGAAAACCUGAGGAAAGCGGGACAACCAGUCACAAUGAAUAAUUUAAUGGUAGCUAUGAUAGCGGUUAUCACCACUGCCAUGAGUAUUCCUUCAACAGGGGCUGACACAGAGAACAGUUAUACUUAUUGGGCAUAUUUAUCAAUCUUGGCCGGCAAUAAUGCCUGGAUGCAAUCACUCUGACACAGUUACACAUGCUUUCUGAUCUCAGUAUUUACCAUAAUAAAUCUGCUCAUAUAAUUGAGGCAUACCAUCCUCAAAAACCUUUUUGUAAACAGGAUUGGACCCAGUUAGAAAAAGAUGAACGUACUUGUUUAGGAAGAUUGCUUUGCAGAACAGACAGAGGUGCUGCACAAUGAUUCCUAUGGAAUCAUUAUUAAUUGGUACCCUAAGGGGAUGUUUAGCUUGAAUUGCACCUCUCAGUCUGCGUGCCAUGGCCACACUAUGUUCAGAUGAUCUGAACAAAACGGUCAGAUGGUAGAAAUGAUAAGAAGUAUGGCAAAAGUUCCUAUUAUCUGGAACCGUGGCGGUAUAGUGGCACCUCAACCUCAAAUGAUAUGGCCUGCUCUAGAAGCUUAACAUAAGGAUUUGUGGAAACUAUUAGAUGUUCUUAAUAAGAUCAAAAUUUGGGAAAGAAUAAAAAGGCAUCUAGAAGGACACUCUACAAACUUGUUUUUGGAUAUGGCAAAAUUAAAAGAACAAAUAUUUAAAGCAUCCCAGGCACACCUGACCUUAAUGCCAGGAACUGGAGUCCUUAAAGGAGCUGCAGACAAAUUAGCAGCUAGUAACCCAUUAGAAUGGAUAAAAACACUUGGAAGCUCUGUAUUUCAAUGAUGAUUGUGCUUUUAAUCCAUGUUGUUUGUCUUUGUAUAGUGUGCAGAUGUGGAUCCUGACUCCUGUGAGAAGUAGCUCACUGUGACAAAGCUGCCUUUGCUUUUAUCUCUUUGCAAAUCAAAGAAGGGAGACAUGUUGGGAGCAGGCCCCCCCAAAAUCUGGCCAUAAACUGUCCCCAAAACUGGCCAUAAACAAAAUCUCUGCAGCACUGUAACAUGUUCAUAAUGGCCCUUAACACCCAAGCUGGAAGGUUGUGGGUUUAUUGGAAUGAGGGCAAGGAACACCUGGCCCGCCCAGGAUGGAAAACCACUUAAAGGCAUUCUUAAGCCACACACAAUAGCAUGAGCAAUCUGUGCCUUAGGGACAUGCUCCUGCUGCAGUUAACUAACCCAACCUAUUCCUUUAAUCCGGCCCAUCCCUUCGUUUCCCAUAAGGGAUACUUUUAGUUAAUUUAACAUCUAUAGAAACAAUGCUAAUGACUGGUUUGCUGUUAAUAAAUACGUGGGUAAAUCUCUGUUCGGGGGCUCUCAGCUCUGAAGGCUGUGAGACCCCUGAUUUCCCACUCCACACCUCUAUAUUUCUGUGUGUGUGUCUUUAAUUCCUCUAGUGCCACUGGGUUAGGGUCUCCCCGACCGAGCUGGUCUUGGCAAGAAAGAAUGAGUAAGACCUAUUAUUUGCUAGCACAACAGGGUGACUAUAGUAAAAAAUAAUUUAAUUAUACAUUUUAAAAUAACUAAAAGAGUAUAAUUGGAUUUUUUGUAACAUAAAGGAUAAAUGCUUUAUCCUUUAGCAAAGAUGGAUACUCCAUUCUGAUGUGAUUAUUACGCAUUGCAUGCUUUAUCAAAAUAUCUCAUGUAACCCAUAAGUAUAUAUAUCUACUAUGUACCCACAAAAAUUAAUAUUAAACUUGUCCAGGUGACUUUGGGAAUUCCCAUCCCAUUCUCACCACUGCAAAGCCUUUAGGCAAUAGGAAAAUCCUCUAAAUCAAAACAGUAUUAAACCAUAUUCAGAUAAGCCAUUUUCUUUGAGUUGGACUUAAGAGUUUGAGACUGCCUCAUGGGAAGCAUCUCAGAGGAUGAGAUAAUGGAGAAAGACUGGUGUAGUAGUUAAGGCCAUAGGGUUUUGAGCUGAACACACUUCAGUCACAUUCUGGCCAUGCCCCUAACUUGCUGUGUGACCCAUGACAUAUUACUGAGGAUACAGCCUCUAUGUCCUUAUCUAUAAAAUCAAAAUACUAAAACCUACAUCAUAGAGAUACUUGAGGAUUAAAAGGGUUACUGUGCAAACUUGCUCUUAACACAGUCUAUACAAUUUAAUAAGCAUUCGACAAAUGAUAUCAUCAUUACAUACAAGGAUACCUCAAGACUUAGAGAGGAAGCUGAGCUUGUAACUAAAGAUGAAGAAGACCAGUGCACAAAAUGGACCACCUCGGGGUCAUCAAUUGUAAUGGUUGUCAUGUUGUGGCCUUUUGAAACUGUAGUUUUGAAAAUGAAACUACAUACAAUGAAGGGAGAAAUUUUCUUUCUUGUUUUUUUUUUUUUUUUUUUUUUUUUUUUUUUUUUUUUUUUUUUGGAGAUGGAGUCUUGCUCUGUUGCCCAGGCUGGAGUGUAGUGGCAUGACCUCGGCUCACUGCAAACUCUGCCUCCCAGGUUCAAGCAAUUCUCGUGCCUCAGCCUCCUGAGUAGCUGGGAUUUCAG